CCAAGCCCUGCUUGAAGCUUGACAGGCUGCUGGCAGACACUGUGCUUCCUUUGCCCAUAAGAUGCUUUAGGGAACUGAGCGAUUGUUCUAAGAUGAUCACAUUUGUCCUGUAUUUAAACUGAGUCAUCUAACACAAGCUAAGGAUCCCUUUUUAACUCCUGGAAAAGGAGGACUUAGUGGCUCCACACAUAUGCAGCAUUUUGUACGGUACCAGAGCAGCAGAUUUUGCCAACUGCCAUUGUGAUGGAACACUAUAACCGAUGAAGGAAAACAUGUCAGCAUGCACUGACAAGAUUUUAUUAGAGCUUGUAAACAAUGAAAAACUACUGCUGCCAAGCCAUAUUACACACUUCUAUGAGAUGAUUCAGACAAUUUUAGACCCUUCAGGUUUGUUGAAGUCAUAGCCACCUAAAAUUUAUUGAUUUGUUUUGGACCAGACCAUUCUGUAAAAGGAGAAAAGGCUUUAUAUUUAUUUAUUUAUUCUAAGCUAAUGCUGCUUCUCUGACCAAGAAUUAGUUCACCGUCAUUACAACAACAGCAACACCUUUGAAAGAAGAAAGAAGGAAGUCCCAGUCUCUGCAGUGGUCACUGCCCUGUUACUUUGGUUAAAUGGAUGCCUCUAGAGUACUACAACUGCUUCAGCAGCUGGGUGCAAAAAAGGUGAUCUCUGAUCUGAUGCUUCUGACUCAGUCUAUUUUAUGCACAGUGGAAAUUGUCUGCAGAUAAUAAAAAGGAG
rnacentral:lncRNA from 1 species